rnacentral:rRNA from 1 species
UACGUAGGGAGCAAGCGUUGUCCGGAAUUACUGGGCGUAAAGCGCACGUAGGCGGCUUUGCAAGUCAGAUGUGAAAUCCCCGGGCUUAACCUGGGAACUGCAUUUGAGACUGCAUUGCUAGAGUAUGGGAGAGGGAAGUGGAAUUUCAGGUGUAGCGGUGAAAUGCGUAGAUAUCUGAAGGAACAUCAGUGGCGAAAGCGACUUCCUGGACCAAUACUGACGCUCAUGUGCGAAAGCGUGGGGAGCAAACAGG